AAUAUUGGACAAUGGGGGCAACCCUGAUCCAGCCAUGCCGUGUGUGUGAAGAAGGUCUUCGGAUAGUAAAGCACUUUAAGUUGUGACGAAGGGCUUUAGGCUAAUACUCUGAAUUUUUGACGUUACCAACAGAUCAAGCACCGGCUAACUCCGUGCCAGCAGCCGCGGUAAUACAGAGGGUGCGAGCGUUAAUCGGAAUUACUGCGCGUAAAGCGCGCGUAGGUGGUUCAGUAAGAUGGGUGUGAAAUCCCCGGGCUUAACCUGGGAACUGCUUUCAUAACUGAUGAGCUAGAGUACGGUAGAGGGUAGUGGAAUUUCCUGUGUAGCGGUGAAAUGCGUAGAUAUAGGAAGGAACACCAGUGGCGAAGGCGACUACCUGGACUGAUACUGACACUGAGGUGCGAAAGCGUGGGGAGC
rnacentral:rRNA from 1 species